rnacentral:rRNA from 1 species
AUUGAACGCUGGCGGCAGGCUUAACACAUGCAAGUCGAGCGGAGAUGAGGUGCUUGCACCUUAUCUUAGCGGCGGACGGGUGAGUAAUGCUUAGGAAUCUGCCUAUUAGUGGGGGACAACAUUCCGAAAGGAAUGCUAAUACCGCAUACGUCCUACGGGAGAAAGCAGGGGAUCUUCGGACCUUGCGCUAAUAGAUGAGCCUAAGUCGGAUUAGCUAGUUGGUGGGGUAAAGGCCUACCAAGGCGACGAUCUGUAGCGGGUCUGGGAGGAUGAUCCGGCACACUUGGACUGAGACACGGCCCAGACUCCUACGGGAGGCAGCAGUGGGGAAUAUUGGACAAUGGGGGAAACCCUGAUCCAGCCAUGCCGCGUGUGUGAAGAAGGCCUUAUGGUUGUAAAGCACUUUAAGCGAGGAGGAGGCUACUGAGACUAAUACUCUUGGAUAGUGGACGUUACUCGCAGAAUAAGCACCAGCUAACUCUGUGCCAGCAGCCGCAGUAACAC